rnacentral:misc_RNA from 1 species
UCUUCUCUUUCAUUCACACUAGAUCAGCCUAACUUGAUUGGUUUUUCCUUUUGCGCUGUUUGUGAUCCCACAAAUUUUUUGGGUGAUGAUAUGGCUGACAUUACUUGCGAAGCCCAAUUCAUAGAUAAAUCUGGACAUAGCAAUAAAAAAUUCCGUUUCGAUUGGGUGACUGUGAAAGAUGUUAAUUUAUUAUGUUCAGAACAUGUAUUCCUUUGGAAUGACUCGUUCGACAUGGAAGAUGGUCCCGUUGCGGCCUCAUUCCAGUUCUUCGUUGACACGGUGUUCGUCAAGGCAAAAUAUCGCAAGGAUCGUGAUUACAGUGCUAUAAUUAAGUGUGGGGUACAUCCUAUGUUUGGAGACGAUUGUCUUGGCAGAGAUAAUAAAAAGAGAAGCAGAAGUCAAGAAGAUGAAGAUGACGAACUUUCUUUUCAAAGAUUGAAACAAGACGAAGAACCUUCUCAUACACUGGAUAAAUCAGAUUCAGAAUGACAACAGGUAAAGGAAUUUCUUAUUCGUUGUUUUUAUCAUUCAGAAUUUAUUUACUCUAGCAAGUAAUAUUUUUCAGCACUACCACUUGGACAAUAUUUUCUAUUCCAUAAUCUACUUAUGCUAACAAGUGAAGAUCCCAUGUUUUAGCUUUUGGUACAGUCAGGAGAUCAGGAAAACUAAGAUUUUUUUAAGUAAAAUGAUUUUCUCUUUUUAAAAGAGGAAAUUAUUUUUUAAUUUUAAUAUUAUUAUUAAAAUGUGAAAAUAUUUAUUUACUAAUGACUUAGAUCAAUAUUGUAAUUAAAUAAUAAA